AGUGAACGCUGGCGGUAGGCCUAACACAUGCAAGUCGAACGGCAGCACAGUAAGAGCUUGCUCUUACGGGUGGCGAGUGGCGGACGGGUGAGGAAUACAUCGGAAUCUACUUUUUCGUGGGGGAUAACGUAGGGAAACUUACGCUAAUACCGCAUACGACCUACGGGUGAAAGCAGGGGAUCUUCGGACCUUGCGCGAUUGAAUGAGCCGAUGUCGGAUUAGCUAGUUGGCGGGGUAAAGGCCCACCAAGGCGACGAUCCGUAGCUGGUCUGAGAGGAUGAUCAGCCACACUGGAACUGAGACACGGUCCAGACGCCUACGGGGGCAGCAGUGGGGAAUAUUGGACAAUGGGCGCAAGCCUGAUCCAGCCAUACCGCGUGGGUGAAGAAGGCCUUCGGGUUGUAAAGCCCUUUUGUUGGGAAAGAAAAGCAGCAGGUUAAUACCCCGCUGUUCUGACGGUACCCAAAGAAUAAGCACCGGCUAACUUCGUG
rnacentral:rRNA from 1 species